rfam:Myotis lucifugus cont2.47181, whole genome shotgun sequence.
GAGACACCCCUAUGGAGCAGGACUUGCUUCAGUGGGGCUUUGGUGCUUACUGAGUCCGCCUCUUAAAUGUGUCACU